GAGAUCGGUCAUUUAAAUCACUCAAAACACCUGCGACGCAGGCAAAGUCAAACAGAAGUAGCCAACGGUUUGCGUAAUGUUUACAUUUCUUCAAUUUUCCAGAUCACAUGAACAAAAAUCUCAACGUGUUCAUAAUUGUCAAAAAUAUGUUUAUAAAUUUACGGGCAGUAAUCUCCCACCUUAGAAGAAAUUAUAAAUCAACUUCCUAAACUUUAGUAUUAUUUUUCAAGUGUAUCCUUCAUGGAGGCCCCAAUUUAACACACAAACACGUGUAUACAUUAUCGGCAUGGUUAAGUCAUAUAAAUGUAAUAACAAGUGUAUAAUAUCGUCAUUGUUGGAGAAUCUUGGGUUGGAAUAAUAUGCCGGUAUUUGUUAUAUUUUUUAUUUACAUAAUUUGAUAAAUGACGUCAAAUAUGUACGUUGAAUAUAGAGUAAUUAUCAAAUAUGUAAGAAAACAAAAAGCACAUGUUCGUAUCUAUAUAUAUCUUGGUUAGCUCACUCGCUGUGUCGGCAAAGUUCGGGAAGUAAACCCGAUGCAUAAUUAAUGAGAUGAAUAGGCACACAACACGAUAUGAAUUAUCAAUUAUUAACACUUCUGUAGUUUAUGAAAACAUUCUAGCGAUCUUAUUGCUUAUAUUUAGUACAUAUCUUUGAUUUUAGCAGCUUUAAAACUUGUUCAUAUUUUUGUCAAAAUCGUAGCUACUAUCCCUUUAAAGGA
rnacentral:lncRNA from 1 species